rnacentral:rRNA from 1 species
UACGAAGGGGCUAGCGUUGCUCGGAAUCACUGGGCGUAAAGCGCACGUAGGCGGAUUGCUAAGUCAGGGGUGAAAUCCUGGAGCUCAACUCCAGAACUGCCUUUGAUACUGGUGAUCUUGAGUCCGGGAGAGGUGAGUGGAACUGCGAGUGUAGAGGUGAAAUUCGUAGAUAUUCGCAAGAACACCAGUGGCGAAGGCGGCUCACUGGCCCGGUACUGACGCUGAGGUGCGAAAGCGUGGGGA